rnacentral:misc_RNA from 1 species
UAUUGAUGCGGAUUUAGUGUCCAACCAAGCUAAAUAGAAAAGGAAAAAAAAAUCACAUAACCGACCCCAACUAGCUUGGAAUUAAGGCUUAAUUGUUAUUGUUAUUGUUGUGAUGUCAAGAGUGGAUUUUAAUUCUUAGAUGUCAGUAAAUUAUCCCAAGUGUCAGUAUUUAGUAGUUUAAGUUGAUAGUGAGGAGAAGGGUUUUGGGGAGGGGAGAAGGAGUAGUAUUAAUUGAUUCAUAACAAAUAUAAUAGGCAAAAUGAUGCCUAGUGAGCAUAAAUAUCAAAUUCUUAACCAUCUAAUGAGCAACAUAAACAGUGCAAUUAGUAGCUAAGCAUAAAUCUAACCUCUUCAUGUAUUUUGGUCAUUUCCCGUGCCAUGACACACUGU